rnacentral:tRNA from 1 species
GCCAUUGUAGCUCAGUUGGUAGAGCGCCGCCAUGGUAAGGCGGAGGUCUCCAGUUCAAUCCUGGACAAUGGCU